GACGAACGCUGGCGGCGUGCUUAACACAUGCAAGUCGAACGAUGAAGCCGGAGCUUGCUCUGGUGAAUUAGUGGCGAACGGGUGAGUAACACGUGAGUAACCUGCCCUUGACUCUGGGAUAACUGCUAGAAAUGGUAGCUAAUACCGGAUACGACCCUCGGAGGCAUCUUCAGGGGGUGGAAAGAAUUUCGGUCAAGGAUGGACUCGCGGCCUAUCAGCUAGUUGGUGAGGUAAUGGCUCACCAAGGCGACGACGGGUAGCCGGCCUGAGAGGGUGACCGGCCACACUGGGACGGAGACGCGGCCCAGACUCCUACGGGAGGAAGCAGUGGGGAAUAUUGCACAAUGGGCGCAAGCCUGAUGCAGCAACGCCGCGUGAGGGAUGACGGCCUUCGGGUUGUAAACCUCUUUUAGUAGGGAAGAAGCGAAAGUGACGGUACCUGCAGAAAAAGCACCGGCUAACUACGUGCCAGCCGCCGCCGUAA
rnacentral:rRNA from 1 species